GCUCAACUCAUCUAGGUCAGCGCAAGGUGAUCUCCGGGAGGGGGGCCGUGCAGCAUUCCCGCCCUUCCUCGCCCCGCACCCUCACCUCAUGGUUUUCGGACUGUCUGGGAACUGGUUCUCCCCUGCCAUGCUCACCUGUUCUGCCUUCCCCUAGAGGCACAAUAGCCCGAGAGAGCAGACGUGGGCGAUUAGAUUUCUCGGCGUCAGCCUGACUUUUAGGCAACCGCCCUAGACUGGAUUUGCCCGCAGUGGACUUCAGCAGUGCUUGGGCACUAGUCCAUGCCUUCGGGAUGGAGGGGAGUCGGGGUGCGGGGGGAAGAGAGGCUCUCUGAGAAGAGAGCCUUCGUUUGGUCUGCUUUGAGUGAGAGGAUACUGUAACUUCGAAAAAACUAUUGGAGGGGCAUAAUAUUAUCCGUGUGCUGUAAAAACCUGUUUACUUCUCUAAUUUUUCCCUGGGUUUCUCCUCUGAAAGCCUCAGCUCUUUACUGAAAGAGUCAGUUCUGUACUGGUCUUGCCCUCUUUCGGAAAACAGCCUUGAGAAUAGGUAGUCCCUUUCCUAACCUCCCAGGGCCUUUUAGGCUAGGAGCACCCCUAUCCCCCCCACCCCACCCGCAGACAGAAGUCAAAUCUGUUACCGUGAAACGUUUUAAGCUGUGCUCUGACAUCAACUUCCUAUGACUCUGAGGGGCACUCGGGAAAGUUUCCUUGAUUGAAGGUGAGGGAUUGGGUUCUUCUAGUUUAAUGUCGUGUUAGUUUAUGCCGAUUUGUGGAGAGCACUACAGCAGUCUAGACAUGAUUUUGUAUUUGAUCGCUCAGCUUAAUUUGUAGCCAUUUCUAGGAACUCUUUGUUAAUACUUCCUACCAUUCUUUACCAUUAAAUAUGUAGUUUAUGCUUAUGGGGACAGGAAAAAUAAAUCUGGGUGCCUUCACCUGCGAUAGACGUUUUACACAUUUUUAUAAUAAAAUCUUG
rnacentral:lncRNA from 1 species